CCUACGGGAGGCAGCAGUGGGGAAUUUUGGACAAUGGGCGCAAGCCUGAUCCAGCAAUGCCGCGUGAGUGAAGAAGGCCUUCGGGUUGUAAAGCUCUUUUGUCAGGGAAGAAACGGUGGGGGUUAAUACCUUCUGCUAAUGACGGUACCUGAAGAAUAAGCACCGGCUAACUACGUGCCAGCAGCCGCGGUAAUACGUAGGGUACAAGCGUUAAUCGGAAUUACUGGGCGUAAAGCGUGCGCAGGCGGUUGUGCAAGACAGAUGUGAAAUCCCCGGGCUCAACCUGGGAAUUGCAUUUGUGACUGUACGGCUAGAGUGUGUCAGAGGGGGGUAGAAUUCCACGUGUAGCAGUGAAAUGCGUAGAGAUGUGGAGGAAUACCGAUGGCGAAGGCAGCCCCCUGGGAUAACACUGACGCUCAUGCACGAAAGCGUGGGGAGCAAACAGGAUUAGAUACCCUGGUAGUCCACGCCCUUAAACGAUGUCUACUAGUUGUCGGGUCUUUAUUGACUUGGUAACGCAGCUAACGCGUGAAGUAGACCGCCUGGGGAGUACGGUCGCAAGAUUAAAACUACAAAGUUAAGUAGUUACGGCGUUGNGAGAGCGACGACGACGACGAGGAGGAGGAG
rnacentral:rRNA from 1 species